AAGUAGCUGGGACUACAAGUAUGUGCCACACCUAGACAAUUUUUUUGUGUUGCCCAGGCUGGUCUCAAACCCCUGGAUUCAAGCAGUCUACUCACCUGGGCCUCACAAAGUCCUGGGAUUACAGGCAUGAGCCACUACACCAAGCAAGCAGGUUUGUGUUACUUACAAGAGAAAAUUUUCCUGAUAACAAGUUGAGUUUAGUGCAUCAACAACACAGGUAACUUCGGUCUUCAAAACAUAUCCCUUUAUGUAACAGUAUGUUUAGAAAAUACAGCUUUAUGCCUUCCUUGAUUCAUUUUCUUUUACAGCACAUUGUCGGUCUUUGAGAAAAUCCUAAAGGCUUUACUUUUAACAUGCACCUUGCCAUUUCUCAGCACUUUCACUUCUAGUCAUCUGUG
rnacentral:lncRNA from 13 species